UGCCUUAGGUGUAGGUUGCAUAAAUAGACCAUCAACCUCUCCCAUGCAUCGUACAUGCUUUCAUCAUCAAACUGCACAAAAAAAGAUAUGUCAUUUCUAAGUUU
rfam:Ricinus communis cultivar Hale ctg_1100012362048, whole genome shotgun sequence.